CGCUGCCGCCGGGAAGGUGUUGCCGCUGUUACCGCUGCUCGGCCGACUCGAAGAUCCUUGCUUGCACAUUUCUGGAUAGUGUGUUGAACCUUCUUAAGAAUUCAGAGAAACUGCCGUGGGACCACGGAGAGAAAGAUCUAAUCUUAAGGCUUACGCACAUUCCGUCACCACAUCUGAACAAUGUCCUACGUUUUUGUGAAUGAUUCUUCUCAGACUAAUGUGCCCCUGCUACAAGCCUGUAUUGAUGGAGACUUUAACUACUCCAAGAGGCUUUUGGAAAGUGGCUUUGACCCAAAUAUUCGUGACACCAGGGGCAGAACAGGCCUUCACCUCGCAGCAGCCCGAGGGAAUGUAGACAUCUGCCAGUUAUUACAUAAAUUUGGUGCUGAUCUCCUGGCCACAGAUUAUCAGGGAAACACAGCUCUUCAUCUCUGUGGCCACGUGGAUACUAUUCAAUUCUUAGUUUCCAAUGGACUCAAAAUUGAUAUUUGCAAUCAUCAAGGUGCUACACCCCUGGUUCUGGCAAAGCGCAGGGGAGUGAAUAAAGAUGUCAUCCGAUUGCUGGAAUCUUUGGAAGAGCAGGAGGUAAAAGGAUUUAACAGAGGAACUCACUCAAAACUGGAGACUAUGCAGACAGCUGAGAGUGAAAGUGCCAUGGAAAGCCAUUCCCUCCUCAAUCCCAACCUGCAGCAAGCGUCCCUGCUCCAACCCAACCUACCUGGCUCCACUGACGAGAAAGACCUGCUUUACACGCCAGUGUCCCGGGGACAGACGCCUGGCCCAUCCGCUUAGGAGCUGUCCAGAUAACACUCGGCCCCCAAGGCGACCGCCAGCCAACACUGAAGACGGUGCAGGAGUCAGAAGGAGCAGAGAGAACUUGCCAGAGCAUCAGGGCCUCCCCAGAGCCAGGAACCCACAGGUGACACACACUCCAAGGGCCCAGCCUCCUCCCAGGGCUCUGUCCUCCGUUCCAGGGGGACCAGAAGAGGCCUCUGAUGAGGCCCCGUGCCGCAGGGCAGAGUCCAGUCUCAAGAACUGCAUCGUUCAUGAUUAGAGCUCAGCAGGAAUUUACCCAUGGGUUUUUCGAGCAUCUGUGUUUGUCCUUUGCUAUGUCACAACUGUCAACAAAAUAACAUUGUAAUCAUAAAGCUGCCAUUUCUUGUAUGUAAACCCUGCUCCAACCUGUAGCAGGUAUUUAUAGUAUACAUAUUCUGUCCUUUGAUGUAUUCCUUGCCAAAACCCAUGAGGAAGGAAGUAUAAUAACAAUACUAAUUAUUAUAAUAAUUAUGCUUUUGAUUAUAAUUAUUAUAAUCAAUACUAAAAUAAAUUUUAUUUUAAUAAAUAAAACAUGCAUUAAACUUUUUUUAACAUGCCAGGCUUUGUGCUUAUUGUCCUAUAACUAACAUCUCACUUGUUCCCUCCAUGAGCCCCAUAAAGUAAGUAAUAUUAUUGCCCCAUUUCACAGAUGAGUAAGAGGAGACCUGGGACUCCAGCCCAGAUCGGCUGCCCCCAGAGCCUGUGAGCUUCCCCACUGCACCAUCCAGCCUCCCUUGUCAGCCCUGCUUCUCUUCACUCGUCUCCUACCGGGGGAGGCAAGGGCCAGGGGGCUGAGGAACCCACGGCCAGUGUGCAGGCCACUGAGUGGGCCAAGCUCCAGGAUGCAAACCCUCCUGGCUCUCCUGGCAGGUCAGAAUUCCGGGGCUGGCUUCCCACUGCCUCCCUGCCAGUCAGUGCCGACUAGGGAUAACUCCCCCUCAGCUCAAAUGAAAUAAUCAGGAUGACUGCUGUCAGCUGCACUGACAGCCAUGGAUUAGCCACUCGAACUAUUAGAUGGACACCUUGGAAGCUGAAAUUAGAGGACCGAGGACUAAACAACCUUAGCAGCAGAUACAGAGCUCUGCCGUAUCCUUCCGCCUUGCCCUAGUUUCCCCUAUCAUUAGCACCUUGCAUUAGUGUGCCACAUUUGUUAUAAAUGAUGAAACAGUAUUGAUACAUUAUUAUUUUUUUUUUUUUUGGCCAUGCCACACAGCUUGUGGGACCUUAGUUCCCUGACCAGGAAUCGAGCCCAGGCCCUCGGCAGUGAAAGUGCGGUGUCCUAACCACUGGACCGCCAGGGAAUUCCCAAUAUUGAUACAUUACUAUUAACUAAAGUCCAGAGUUUACAUUAAGGUUCACUCUUGAUGUAGUACAUUCUAUGGCCUGGACAAAUACAUAAUGAUAUGUAUCCAUCACUACAGUACUGUACAGAAUAGUUGCACUGCCCCCCCAAAUCCCCUGUGUUCUAGCUGUUUAUCCCUCCCUCUCCUCCAGUCCCCCACCUCUCACCUCCUGCCCCAAUCCCUGGCAACCACGGAUCUUUUUAUUGUCUCCAUAAUUUCACUUUUUCUAGAAUGUCACAUGUAAUAGUUGGAAUUAUACAACAUGUAGCCUUUUUAGAUUGGCUUCUUUCACUUACUAAUAUGCAUUUAAGGUUCCUCCAUGUCUUUUCAUGGUUAGAUAGCUCAUUUCUUUUAUCACCGAAUACUAUUCCUUUGUCUAGAGGUACCACAGUUUAUCCACCUACUGCAGGACAUAUUGGCUGCUUCCAGGGUUGGGCAAUUAUAAAUAAAGCUGUUAUAAACAUCAGUGUACAGGUUUUUAUAUGAAAGUUAAGUUUUCAAGGAGAACAAUUGCUGGGUUGUAUGGUAAGAGUAUGUUUAGCUUUGUAAAUAGUAUUUUUAACUUAAUUUUACUUUGGAUAUUAUGUGUUUUAAUGGGAGUGCUUAAGUUGUUCUGGGGAUUUGCAAUUCUUUCAGUAGGAGCAGGAGAUUUCUCACGUACAAAGGUAUAGCUCUCCAUCCUCUCUCCUGUCCCCACCUCUCAGACUCUCUGUCCUUCCCCACUCUCCGGGGCCACAGACAAAUCUGCUCUCAGACCCACCAAGCUGGGGUUCCAUGCCAAGGCCUGGUUCGCACCUUCUCCAGGACAGGGAAGGAAUUGUACGGCUUUUAAAAGCAGUUAAAAUUCAGCUUCUGCUGAGUGUACACAAAGAUGCCAUUUAUGUCAAGCUAAAUCGUUUAGAAAGUCAAUAGGAUUUACAGUAAAGUUUUGGCAUAAUUCUGGAAUAUAACUGAACUCAUUGUACACACAUUAUUAGGUUCUUGAAUUUUAAUAUAUUUCAUUUCUUUCUCUUUCCUGAAUGCUGUUUUCUUAUUGAAUUGUUCCUUCGUCUUCUUGAUACACAUACCUCUACUUUGGAAAAUCACACUCGUUUUUUACUAGCUCAACAGGGCAGGAGGUAGGCCUUGUUUGUCUUUGUAAUGCCUAAGUAAAUAUUUAUUGAAUGAA